GGCCGGGUCUGGCGGUCGGACCUCUGGUUUGCACUGUCGGCCUGGUCUUUCCUUCUGGGGAACGUGCAUGCACUUUAUUGUUGUGUGCGCGGGAUCCAGGACUUUUACUUUGAAAAAAUUAGAGUGUUUAAAGCGGGCAUUUGCUUGAAUACAUUAGCAUGGAAUAAUAGAAUAGGACUUUGGUUCUAAUUUGUUGGUUUCUAGGACUAGAGUA
rnacentral:rRNA from 1 species